UCACUGCCAUGCCCCAGUCUCUGGGAAGGCAAGAGUGAAGGCACUCACCUGGGCCUCCAAUUCCAGUUCUUCCCAAUCAGAGGAAGCAGGACAUAACAUCUCACAGGACACAUUCUAAGAACGAGCCUCCAGCACCAGCUUCUUUCAGCUUUAACACUGUGGAGGGCACCAGGGCUACAGUGACAUCCACUUUUUUGUGACCCUGCUGAGCAGCCAGCCUCCUCUCAGCUCAGUUCUACUUGUUGUGGGGACUGAUGGUCCUUCCCUGCCAUGAGGUGACACUCACAUGGUUGGAUGCCUGCAGGUUACUUGGGUAGGACUUCCCCAUUCACCCCCAGCAAGUCUGGACCCAGCUCCUUGGACACAGCAGAGCAGAAGUCACUGCAGGAAAAUCUGUGCUGUGGAUGGCACCCCCUGCUGACACCAAAAGUGUGGCAUUUUGGAAUAUAUCACCACCUACUUUUCAUCACCAGCCCAGAGAGUUGCCCAGUUGUCUUCUGAGCACUUCUUCAGUGAGGCUUGGUGACUCCUGUGGCGCAAUCCUGGUUUGUGGAAAGAGCAAAAGAGACUCAGGGUGGUCCUGUUGCUUCCUACAUGCUUUCAUCAGGAAUUCCCCUUUUAUGGAAUGAAUCUGAACUAUAAUUUAGGCUCUAUCUCAAAAAUUAGGCCUACAUUCUCAACAUUCUUCUGCCAUUGCAGGGGGAAAAAAUCAAACAGAUGUAUGAACUCAGUAGGACUCUUUUUUUCUGCAAAGAGGAUGAAAUUGAGAGAGUCAGAGCAGUAAAAGGCUUCUUCUAGCUGGCUGAAAGUGACAGCAUGCAAUUUGUACAAGUUACUGACAAACUGCAAAACAAUUAUGUAGUACAAAAAGCAUUCACAUGUUAAAUUUACCUCACUUGCUAAGGAACAAAGGCUUGCAGGAAGUAGAAGAACCAAGCCCCAGGAAAAGAUCAUAUUUUCCCCUUUACUCAAUAUUUUGUUGCACUGAAGGCCAAACUCUAGUUUGAAUUCAGCUCCAGAGUAGGCCAAUAAAGUUUGUGGCUGGGAACAUUUUGCCAUUUCAGCACAGAGUGUUCCUGCAGCUCCUGGCUGUUUGGAGAGGACUAGGAGAGAGAGGAACAAAGAUGUAUAAUGGGAAUAGCCAGAAAUCCUGGAAUAAAAUCAGCUGCUAGGACUGUUAACUGUACCACAGGAAGAACAGAGAAGAAAAUCCCAUCACAAAGACAGAUUUGUGUAAUUCUUCAGAAAAAAAUCUGUAUGCUUAGAUUCUAGAAGCAUAAAAAGAUUGGGAAUCCUUCAUAAGGUAAGAAAAUUUUUUGCAUUGAAUCAAGCAUUGAGAAAUUGUAUGGGGGAAAAAAAACAUAAGAGGGAGAAAUUUGCAUUUACUUCAGUUCUGUGUCUCUUGAGUCACACCUGGGCAUCCUAACCUCUGAAAUAAGUGCCACAGGGAGAAAAAAAGAAGAUUCAUAAACACAGAUUCUCCCUACCUCAUGUUCCAGCAUUUUCAUAGGGUGGGUUUUUUUUUUGUUGGGAUUUUGUUGUUGUUGUUGUUGUUGUUUUGUUUUGUUUGCUUUUGGAGUUUUUUAUUGGGUUGUUUGUUUGGUUUUUUUUCAGAGGGACUGUUUUGUUUGUUUGCUUGUUGUCUGGUUUGUUUGUUGUCUGUUUGUUGUGGUUGUUGUUUGUUUUUUCAGGUUUUUUACAACACACUUGCAAGCGCAUCCACGGAACUGAAACAGCUCAACCCUGCUUUUGCACAGCUGCUCUACUGAGUGCUACCAGCCACACAAUUUUCACUUCUCAUUCAGCCAGUUUACUGGAGUUGAAGGCACUCCACAAUAUAAUUUUGGACACUCCUCUUUUCUUGGCAAAUCUACAGGGGGAAAAGAGUGCUUGGUUGAAUGGGCAGGACAGAAAUUUAAGAAGCUGCCUGCCUGGAGUUUAGAAAUGGCACCUGUUUGCAAUAAAAAGAAGUGCAAGGCAAAACCAGAUUGUGUCUAUAACAUCAUGCAGAACCUAGGAAUUAAGCCCAAGGAAGAAAAGCCACACACCUGAUCCCUGAAGUAAUCAAGGAAGAAGGAAAAAGGCAGAUCAGAGUGAGAAGCAAAGAAUAUUUUCCUUUGAGGCCAACCAGGUGCUCAGAAAAUACCUGCAAUAAGCAGCACUGCCUGUUCUUUCAGCACAGUGACAUCUAAGGAUGCCUGUGCUAAUGCCUAGGGAGAAAUCCUUCCUCAUGCCCUCUUGUACUGCUGAGAUCUUGAACCCCCUGUGAUUGGCAGAAGAACAAGGGAACUGCUGCACUUUUAUCAUUUAACUUGUGUGCUCCAGUAAGGACCCUUUGCUGGUUUGACACCAGUUAUCUCUGUGACUGGAAACUGAUACUACCGUGUGAACCGCACAGUAUAGAAAACUCUGACAGUUUUGUAGUGCAAUGUGAUUUUUUACUUCCCCCUGUCCCUGCCCUUCAGUAAGUAAAUACAGCCCUGGUUAUUUUCAUUAUGCUAUAGCAUGCAGGGGCUACAGUCUUGGCUAAAAAAUGUAAAUUAAUACUAUUUUUUUCUUCAAUCAGAAUAAGCUCUCUUAUAGAUAAAAUGAAAUUCUGAGGGUGACUUCUCAUUACCCUAUUUAUUAGAACAUAAUUAAACUAUAAAGAGCAUAGCAGUAAAAACUGGCAUUUUGUCUCAUGUCAUGGUGCCAACUCACAGUGUAUUCGAUAAUAGCUUAAUGGAAAUCAGAUUCUUCUAAUCAGCAUGAUUUUAUCCUUCUGUAAUAGGUACAAUGAAUACUCAGAAUGUAAAAAUACUCUCUUUAAUAACAUGUAGGUAUUUGCAAUCUUUAGAUAUGGUAGGUAUUCCUUCAUCUGAAAUUUACAGCAUGGUAUCACAAAAUUGUACAUAAUUAGGCAAAGUGUAAGCAUCUUCCCACUAUCAUAAAAAUCCCUCAAAGUCAUCUUUUAACUGACACCCUCACUUUUCAAGAGUUCCCAUGAAUAACAGCUGCUCACUUCAGACAGCACAUAUUUAGGGGCCAGGGGAGAACUUCAUGGAUGUCUCUACCAAUCUUCCACAUAAAUUUCGAGCAAUAUUUCUUGUCUGUGAACCCUUCCAGCUGACAAUGAACACUUUAAUCCCUACUGCCAAUAUUCUGCAGGACCCAAACAUGGAAAAAAGUAAUACUACUCCCAUUCUUAUGGGAAAUAAGAUUUUUGGGUUUUUUUCUCCCAUUUUUGUCCUCUUUCCUGCAAAUCUCUGGACAAAGUUAUUGUAAGUAGCUUAUAAUUUUUUUGUGUGUGACCUUAAUGAGUUUCUUUAGGGAAACUGCAACUUAGUUGUCACUAGACAACAAAUGUUACAUAUUUGGCAAGUAUUUUUCCAAAAGAUUUUGCCUGUGAGCAGAGGGACAUCAAAUUUUAGUGUGAGCUGUGUAUUCUACUCUCUUGAAAAUUCAAUACUAUAUGCAACUUAAGGACAAUGAAAACUUCACAUCAAAAUGAAUGUGGAAUUCUGUCAAAGAUCCAGCUGCCUUCAAGAGACAGAAUUCCUGGCUGUACACAGACACUUUUCAUUAUUCCAGUAAAGCUCAAGUGAUACAAAGCAGGCCAAGCUUGCACAGUUCCAAAGGAAAUUUAAGCACAGCCUAAAAGGUACUUCUGCUCAAACUUCUUGCAACAGAACUGUAAUUUUAAUAAAUUAUAUUUCCCUGUAUUAAGCAAAAACUCUGCAUCUGAAAUGUUCUGUAACAGAGGAAAAUGCUCCAAGCAGGAGAUUAACUAAAGCUAUUGUUAGAGGUAGGGGAGUAAAAUGGACAAAAGGUUUCUUUUAUGCUCCACAUCACUCAAAAGGUAUGUUUCCUUCUCUUCUUUUUGAAACCAGUGUUGUGAUAAAGGUAUAGAACUUUGGCAGGGAAAGAACCCAACAACCCUUUGUUCCGGUGCUCCUCAGAGAUCAGAGGGGCUGGGAGCAGCUGGGCUUCAUUUCUCUUUUCAGCCAAUUUGGCACCGUCAGCCUGGUCACGUUCAGAACUUUUGUGAUUGCAGACUCACAAAUAGUGCAGUUCACCAUCGCCUGAUGACAUGGCUGAGUUCAUUAAGAACCUGCACAAUCCAGAAUCAUGAACUUCCAUGUGAAUUCACCCAAAUUUCACAAAAAAUUUAUGGAUCAGUUCAUUGAAACAACAGAGAGCUGAUUCAGAACUAUCAGUGAGAGAUGCAUUAGCUACAGAGUAUCAAGGCGCAGUAAUGGAGA